AUUUCUGGCUAACAGUGCAGCAGUAGCACUAAAUCUCUUUCAUUGCAUCUUGAAAGCAUUGUUCUGAUUUCAGUGGCCACACACUGCUAAAUGACUGACUUCACCAGCAAUGGAAGGCACUCUUAAUUCAGUCCGUAUAUUAAGGUUGUGACUUCAAAGCAAACAAGAUGUGAUGUAUUGAGGAGUCAGCUGGGUCUUUUUUCACUAUUGUAUCUCAGCAAGAGAGCGAAGGUAACGUUUCUAAAGAAAAAAAUAAACAAGCAAAAAAAAAAAACCACCUGUAUAUUUUAUUGAAUAUACCAGUAAAAUGUUUCAUAAAUUUAGUCACAUUUGGCUAACUUAU
rnacentral:lncRNA from 1 species